rnacentral:lncRNA from 1 species
AACAGGGAAAAUAUGAAUGUUACCGUGAUGAAGACUCUGCGAAGGUUGCCGGUUUCAAUUGGGGCAAGCACAUGAUGAAUACGCUAUUGGCGGGCUUAGAUGACUUCGUUCGGGAAUUGACAAAGUUAACCUAUCCUAGCAGCGAUAUAAAUUUUAUGGUGGUAAGUGGUUGUUAUACCUGUAUUCUGUUUUCUUGGUUGUUAUACCUGUGUUCUGUUUCCGAGUUUGUUAUACCUGUGUUCUGUUUCUGUAGCUGCAUUCCCGAGGUUGUUAUACCUGUGUAGAUUAAUCUUCACAAAAACCUGAAAACCUGAAUUCAAAGCAUAUAUCGAAGCAACAAAGGUAUCAUGAUAAGCAUGAAUGAUUCAAGAAAGAUCAAACGAUGAUCGACUUACAAUUGUAAUAGGUUCAUUGAAGCCCAACCUGACACAUUCUUGAAACUCUUGAACGCACCAACCUUUGUGUAAGCGAAAUCAGGUCUAAGAUUAAUUGAUAAAAAAAAUUAACAAUAGACUGUUAAU